rnacentral:rRNA from 1 species
AACGAACGCUGGCGGCGUGCCUAACACAUGCAAGUCGAACGUGAUUGAAGAGCUUGCUCUUCAUGAAAGUGGCGCACGGGUGAGUAACGCGUAGAUAAUCUACCUGGUGAUUUGGGAUAACAGUUCGAAAGGACUGCUAAUACCGAAUAAGCCCACGGAGUCUUUGGAUUCUGCGGGAAAAGGGGGGACCUUAUGGCCUUCCGUCAUCAGAUGAGUCUGCGUACCAUUAGCUAGUUGGUAGGGUAAAGGCCUACCAAGGCGACGAUGGUUAGCUGGUCUGAGAGGAUGAUCAGCCACACUGGAACUGAGACACGGUCCAGACUCCUACGGGAGGCAGCAGUGGGGAAAUUUGCGCAAUGGGGGAAACCCUGACGCAGCAACGCCGCGUGAGUGAUGAAGGCCCUUGGGUCGUAAAGCUCUGACAGAGGGAAAGAAAUGCAGGGGAGCUAAUAUCUCCUUUGCUUGACGGUACCCUCAAAGGAAGCACCGGCUAACUCCGUGCCAGCAGCCGCCGUAAGAC